CUCGUAGGCGGCCACUCAAGUCGAAUGUGAAACCUCGAGGCUCAACCUCGAGCCUGCAUUCGAUACUGGGCGGCUAGAGUCUGGUAGGGGGAUCUGGAAUUCCUGAUGUAGCGGUGGAAUGCGCAGAUAUCAGGAGGAACACCGGUGGCGAAGGCGGGAUCCUGGGCCAGUACUGACGCUGAGGAGCGAAAGCGUGGGGAGCAAACA
rnacentral:rRNA from 1 species